rnacentral:misc_RNA from 1 species
CUUGGUCAUUUAGAGGAAGUAAAAGUCGUAACAAGGUCUCCGUUGGUGAACCAGCGGAGGGAUCAUUACCGAGUUUACAACUCCCAAACCCCUGUGAACAUACCUUUAUGUUGCCUCGGCGGAUCAGCCCGCGCCCAGUAAAACGGGACGGCCCGCCGCAGGAACCACAAAACUCUGAUUUUAGUGUAACUUCUGAGUCUAAAAAACAAAUAAAUCAAAACUUUCAACAACGGAUCUCUUGGUUCUGGCAUCGAUGAAGAACGCAGCAAAAUGCGAUAAGUAAUGUGAAUUGCAGAAUUCAGUGAAUCAUCGAAUCUUUGAACGCACAUUGCGCCCGCCAGUAUUCUGGCGGGCAUGCCUGUUCGAGCGUCAUUUCAACCCUCAAGCCCCCGGGUUUGGUGUUGGGGAUCGGGCUGUACUCCAGCCCGGCCCCGAAAUCUAGUGGCGGUCUCGCUGCAGCCUCCAUUGCGUAGUAGCUAACACCUCGCAACUGGAACGCGGCGCGGCCAAGCCGUUAAACCCCCAACUUCUGAAUGUUUGACCUCGGAUCAGGUAGGAAUACCCGCUGAACUUAAGCAUAUCAAUAAGCGGAGGA